GAUGAACGCUAGCGGCAGGCUUAAUACAUGCAAGUCGAGGGGCAGCACGAAUAGCAAUAUUUGGUGGCGACCGGCGCACGGGUGCGUAACACGUAUACAACCUACCUAUAACAGGGGGAUAGCCUUUCGAAAGAGAGAUUAAUACCCCGUAAUAAAUUGAGUGGCAUCACUUGAUUUUGAAAGCUACGGCGGUUAUAGAUGGGUAUGCGUCUGAUUAGCUAGUUGGUGAGGUAACGGCUCACCAAGGCGACGAUCAGUAGGGGAUCUGAGAGGACUAACCCCCACACUGGUACUGAGACACGGACCAGACUCCUCCGGGAGGCAGCAGUAAGGAAUAUUGGUCAAUGGAGGCAACUCUGAACCAGCCAUGCCGCGUGCAGGAUGACGGCCCUAUGGGUUGUAAACUGCUUUUGUACCAGAGAAAACCUACUCACGUGUGAGUAGCUGAUAGUAUGGUAAGAAUAAGCAUCGGCUAACUUCGUGCCAG
rnacentral:rRNA from 1 species